CAGGAAUAUUGGAACACAGGACUGACUGACUCUCUGUCUCUCCCCCCUCUAUUUCUCUCUCUCUCUCUCUCCUCUCUCUCCCUGUCUCUCUAUCUCUUUCUGUCCCUCUCUAGCUCCCAUGAGCUGAGCAGUUUCUUUCACCAUAUCCUCCCUGUUGUGAUGCACCAGGCUCAAAGAAAAGGUCAAUUAGAACUCCGUCCCGAUUAUCUGGUCUCCUACCAGGAGAUAAGUACUCUUAGUUACAGGAGAAAAGAAACUUCCUAGGCAUCGGUGGAGGACAAAUAUGAGUCAAGAUUCAGGACACUGCAAUUGACACUUUCUUAGGCCUGUGCUUGUCCAGGACAAAAUGCACUGAUGGCAGCACGUUAUCCAGGCCAAAAGAGAUCCACUGGGGAUAGAAAAGGUGCUUCACAGUGACCACAAGGGAGCUCAGAGGGACCUUUAGGAGACCUGCUUUUGGAGAAGAGCCCACAGUGACCCCUGGCCUGGCUUAGAGCUCCAGAGCAGGCAAGAAAACAGAGCCACGACAAGGUCCAGUUGCUUGUCCAAGGUCACUGUGUGGAUAAUGGAGGUAUGAUUCCCACGACACUGUUCAGUUCCCAAGCUAAUCUCCUUCGUGGUUGUCUUGCUGUCACGUCAUUGUCACUUCCAACUGCGUCUUUUUAAUUUGCUGUUAUAACAGACAGGACCUCCGCUGUAAAGCAAGAAGAGUAACAAUACCAAGUGUUGGCAAAUAGGCGGGACAAU